rnacentral:lncRNA from 1 species
UUAAGGUUAAUUACGAUAUUUUGACAAGUUAGAGUUACGACGGAAAUCGAAAUUACAGUUACAAUGAACCAAACAACGAAAACAUUUAUUUACAGUUAAAAUCACUUCACUUUUUUUCACUUUCGGUGAAAUGAACAAACCCAUAAUGUAUUACCACUUACAUAAAUAAAAAUAAUUAUUUUCAUCACACUUUUCUAGCCGUGCAUAAUAUAUUCUUUCUAUAAUUCUAAACAGAGGUAGCUGAAACUACGUAUUAGUCUAUAAUUGAUGAUUAAUAAUUAAUAAUUUAAACUAAAUACCACUACCAUCGAAUUUAAAAUAUUAUCACAAAACUAAUCAUAAAUAUAUAACAUAUCUAACAAUUUAAUAUUUACCAACCCCCCAAAAAAUGUAAGUUAAAAACUCGAUAAACAAA